CAGUGUUCAAUGCCAUUUGCUGUCAGUACUAAUUGGGUGGCGGUUGGAAACAAUACCUGGUGGUCUCCAGGUCAGAAGUCAAACCAUACUAAAACAGUUUGACUAAAUAAAGUGGAGAUUUGCCAGGGCACUCCUGGUACCAUAUCACUACAGUGCACUGUGGUGGUUAUGGUUCUGGUGUUUUCAUUGUUCUGUUAUUUGGGAUUAGAUUGUAAUGAUAGAGUAAAUAUAACAGUAAUUGGGGGAGCCUAUAUUCUUCUCGAGUGGUUUUAUACAGAUAUGCAAAGCCAU